rnacentral:pre_miRNA from 1 species
UUUUAGUGCAGUUGUGAGUUUCUGUGUUAUUUAAAACUUUUCUACCAUUAUAUUUUUAUUGUUAUUAGAUAAUAAAACAUAAAUAGUAUUUUAUACGUCACUUAUUUUUUUAAUCUUCUCAUAAAUUUUUCAAAUAAAAAGUAUGGUUAAAAGUUGAACACGAAAAGCCACAACUACACUUGAA